rnacentral:tRNA from 1 species
CUACGAGUAGUACAAGUAGUAGUGGUACUACUACGAGUAGUACGAGUAUUACUAGUAGUACAUACUACUACUCGUAGU